rnacentral:rRNA from 1 species
UACGUAGGUGGCAAGCGAUACUCGGAAUCACUAGGCGUAAAGCGCAGGUAGGAGGUUUAGUAAGUCUGUUGUGAAAGCUCCCGGCUUAACUGGGAGAGGUCAACGGAAACUGCUAGGCUAGAGUGCGGUAGAGGUAGCUGGAAUUCCCGGUGUAGCGGUGAAAUGCGUAGAUAUCGGGAGGAAUACCUAUGGCGAAAGCAGGCUACUGGACCGUCACUGACUCUGAUGAGCGAAAGCCAGGGGAGCAAACGGG